rnacentral:rRNA from 1 species
GUGUCAGCCGCCGCGGUAAUACCGGCAGCCCAAGUGAUGGCCGAUCUUAUUGGGCCUAAAGCGUCCGUAGCUGGCCACGCAAGUCCAUCGGGAAAUCCACCUGCCCAACAGGUGGGCGCCCGGUAGAAACUGCGUGGCUUGGGACCGGAAGGCGCGACGGGUACGUCCGGGGUAGGAGUGAAAUCCCGUAAUCUUGGACGGACCGCCGAUGGCGAAAGCACCUCGAGAGGACUGAUCCGACAGUGAGGGACGAAAGCUGGGGUCUCGAACCGGAUUAGAAACCCCCGUAGUCC